rnacentral:rRNA from 1 species
GAAUAUUGCACAAUGGGGGAAACCCUGAUGCAGCGAUGCCGCGUGCGGGAUGAAGGGGCUUUGCCUUGUAAACCGCUGUCGGAUGGGACGAAAGGGACCUUAGGGGUCCUGGGACUGUACCAUAAGAGGAAGGGACGGCUAACUACGUGCCAGCAGCCGCGGUAAUACGUAGGUCCCGAGCGUUGUCCGGAAUUACUGGGUGUAAAGGGUGCGCAGGCGGUCUUGUGCGUCAGAAGUGAAAUAUCACGGCUUAACCGUGAGGGUGCUUUUGAAACGGCGAGACUUGAGUACGGGAGAGGAUGAUGGAAUUCCUGGUGUAGCAGUGAAAUGCGUAGAUAUCAGGAGGAACACCGGUGGCGAAGGCGGUCAUCUGGCCCGGUACUGACGCUCAGGCACGAAAGUGUGGGUAGCAAACAG